rnacentral:rRNA from 1 species
UACGUAGGGUGCAAGCGUUGUCCGGAAUUAUUGGGCGUAAAGAGCUCGUAGGCGGUUUGUCGCGUCUGCUGUGAAAACUCGGGGCUUAACCCCGGGCCUGCAGUGGGUACGGGCAGACUAGAGUGCGGUAGGGGAGACUGGAAUUCCUGGUGUAGCGGUGGAAUGCGCAGAUAUCAGGAGGAACACCGAUGGCGAAGGCAGGUCUCUGGGCCACUACUGACGCUGAGAAGCGAAAGCAUGGGGAGCGAACAGG